GAAUUUCCGAAGGCGCAGCAUGUGCACUGAGAGGCAGGGGAACUGUGGAAAUAAGUAGUAGAGUCUCUGCUUACAAACAUAAUGCCUGCACAUAAGUAGGGUGAAAUAAGACACUGGGACGCUGCUACGGAGCUCCAGCUCAGGCCGGGGAUGGUUGAGAAGGAGAGGGGGUUGGGUCGUGCGCGUGAUAGAUGAGGCACUAACAGCGCUGCGAGACAAGCACUGUGCAUGCAUGACCCACACAGACACGGCUGCUGAAAUUCUCCGAUCAAUGGCACAGGGGCGCUCUAACACCUGAAGUGGAGCACCCACAGGGGGACACAUCUUGAAGAACCUCAAUCAUUGUACAAGGAACAACCACUUUUCAUCUAUAGUCACCUCUGCCUGGAGACUGGAAUGAAGGGCUUUAUAUAUUUGUUUCCUGAAGAUGGCAGCAAUGUCUUUACUAUGCAAUACGCCCAGCUUCACAAGGCUGUUUUGUAGCAGAGAUACAGUACCAACUGUUCAUUUCCACUGCGGCUGAGGAUACAUAUGAGCAUUUCAGUACCAGUGCUUGGAAAUAUUUUCUGGUCCUGACAGACUUUCUACUGGUCCACGCCCAGCACUCAAAAGGUGGCUUGGACCAGGCUGAUGCUGUUCUUUACUUGAGCCUCUGAAUGACCCUUGAUCAGCCAGUCAUUGAGGUACAUGUAUACCUGAACACCUUGCUGUCUGCGAAAGGCAGCUACCACUGCCAUGCAUUUUGUGAAAACCCGGGGUGGCUGCGGAAUUGAUAAUGAUCUGUGGCCAGCGAAGAUAAAAAUGUGAAAGAGUACUGUCUCAGACACGGAGCCAAGAAACAUGGCAGCUGUUGAGGCCUGAAGUGCUUCCUCGAAGUGGAUGGAGGAAGAGGCCCAGGGACCUGAGGGUAGCCCUUGAGUCCUCAGGCCAUGUAGUCCCAUGUAGUUUGUCUGCUCUGAAAAUAGUGAGGAGCCUUCGAAAGGGAGGUCCUGGAUAGACUGCUGGAUCACCUGAGCGAGUCCUGAUGACUGCAGCCAAGAGCAUCAUCUCAUGGUGACAACAGAGGCCAUUGUCCUGGCCACCAUGUCUGCUGCGUCCAGUGCCCCCUGGAGAGAGGCUCUGGCAACAUUCUCUCCUUGUUCUAAGAUGGGUGAAAAUUCCUGCCAUAAGUCUUGAGACAUGGAGUCCUUAAAUUUAGACACAGAGUCCCACAAAUUGUAGUCGUAUCUCCACAGUAAGGCUUGCUGGUUUGAGAUACAUAGUUGUAGACCGCCUGUCAAGUAAACUUUCCUCCCAAACAGA